rnacentral:rRNA from 1 species
GACGAACGCUGGCGGCGUGCUUAACACAUGCAAGUCGAACGGAGUGGCGACCGGGUGAGUAACACGUGGGUGACCUGCCCUGCACUUCGGGAUAAGCAUGGGCAGCUGGUUCUAAUACCGGAUAGUGUGGGAUGGGCCCGGGGCCGAUCAGCUUGUUGGGGGGGUAAGGGCUGACCAGGGGGGCGACGGGUAGCCGGCCGGGGAGGGUGGACGGCCACAUUGGGACUGAGGCACGGCCCAGACGCCUACAGGAGGCAGCAGUGGGGAAUAUUGCACAAUGGGCGGAAGCCUGAGGCAGCGACGCCGCGUGGGGGAUGACGGCCUUCGGGGUGUAAACUCCUUUCACCAUCGACGCGGUAGAUGGAGAAGAAGCACCGGCUAACUACGUGCCAGCAGCCGCGGUAAUUC